UACAGAGGUCUCGAGCGUUGUUCGGAUUCAUUGGGCGUAAAGGGUGCGUAGGCGGCGCGGUAAGUCGGGUGUGAAAUCUCGGAGCUCAACUCCGAAACUGCAUUCGAUACUGCCGUGCUUGAGGACUGGAGAGGAGACUGGAAUUUACGGUGUAGCGGUGAAAUGCGUAGAUAUCGUAAGGAAGACCAGUGGCGAAGGCGAGUCUCUGGACAGUUCCUGACGCUGAGGCACGAAGGUCAGGGGAGCAAACGGG
rnacentral:rRNA from 1 species